UUUUUGAUAGCUCAGUCGGUAGAGCAUAAGACUCUUAAUCCCAGGGCUGUAGGUUCGAGCCCCACAUUGGGCAAAAAG